rnacentral:misc_RNA from 1 species
GUGAAUCAUCAAAUCUUUGAACGCAUAUUGCACUCUCUGGUAUUCCGGAGAGUAUGCCUGUUUGAGGGUCAGUCUAAAAAAAAUCGACGUAGUCGCUGUUUCGCGGUGACAUUCGUCGGAAAUUGGGUUAUCUUAAAUCUUUGGGUUUGUUAAGCGGAUUAUAAUUUUCUUUAUGAUUCUACGAACGUUUCUAAGAUUUUACUUCUUACACACGUUUAAGGUAUUGAUCUUUAUUAGAGGUGGCCGUUGUAUCGGA